UACGGAGGAUCCAAGCGUUAUCCGGAUUUAUUGGGUUUAAAGGGUGCGUAGGCGGAUUUUUAAGUCAGUGGUGAAAGCCUACAGCUUAACUGUAGAACUGCCAUUGAUACUGAUAAUCUUGAGUACAUUUGAAGUGGGCGGAAUGUGCAGUGUAGCGGUGAAAUGCUUAGAUAUUGCACAGAACACCGAUUGCGAAGGCAGCUCACUAAACUGUUACUGACGCUGAGGCACGAAAGUGUGGGGAUCAAACAGG
rnacentral:rRNA from 1 species